rnacentral:rRNA from 1 species
AAAUUGAAGAGUUUGAUCAUGGCUCAGAUUGAACGCUGGCGGCAGGCCUAACACAUGCAAGUCGAACGGUAACACAGAGAGCUUGCUCUCGG